GAUAAAUGAUACUUUGUAUGUGGGAGCCAAGACACCAUGGUGCAGUUUCCUGGGGGUUGCUGUCCGGAUUCCAAAGCCGAAUUCCCCAGCUGCCUCAGACCCGGACCCUUCCUCCCCUCUCACUGAGCACAGCAGAGGUCAGAGCAACAGAUGUGGCUAACAGCACAAGAGGUGGGAUGUGGGGCUAACAGCACAAGAGAGAUGGGAUGUGGCUCCCAGGCCCCUGCAGCAGACCCACAUCUGGCUGCAAGGUGCUGGGGUCAGAGCUGGUUGCCACAUUAUCCUGAGGAGAGGGAGAAGAUUCAUCUAUGAUUCUCAGAGCAUCUGUAAGAAGCUGGAUUAUGGAAGCAUCCACCCAGCCUACUGCAGAGACACCCCUCAGCAGUCUAUGCAUUCAGCACACUGAAAGACCCAGAAUACUCUCCACGGAGAUGGAAGUUGGAAGAAGUCUUCUGAAGAGAGAAAGAUCCUGCAAGUGGCUGGUGCUUGGUAGCUUACACAAGGGCAGGGCAUUCUGCACAGGCACCUGAAGAUUGCCUCAGCCUGAAAACACAGACCGGAUACUGAUGGGAACAGGGGGAGAGGUGUGAGGCCCAUCUCAGGCCCACCCUGCAGCCUGGAGUGUGAAUUCAAGCUGCUGGGUCCUGUUGGGAGGAUGGGCAGAGAUGGAAGAGCCCCCUGUGGAGGUUGGUUGUCUUGCUUAGGCAUGGGUCAGCAGAUCAGGCCCAGGGACAGGUUCAGUGGCUCUGGGUCAGUCUAGUCAGGACACUCAGACCCAACCCACUCCCAGCCAGAGAGCUGCCUGCUCCAGUCACUCAAGGGAGCUUUCAGGAAGCCAAGUUCCAGCGGCUUCCACUCUGGAACACUGUCCUUUUCUCUUUACCACCAUCACAAGGGUAGCACCUGCCACAGCAGUGCUGGGAAGCCCCACCCCUGCUCUCACACACCCACCAGACUCCACCCACCCUCUGAGCCACACCUCUCAAUCUCCUUGGCUCUCUGCUCCAGAACUCCAGCCCCUGGAUGUUGCCUCACUCUUCAGAGAGACUCCCAGCCCAGGUCCCCACCCUGGCCCUUCGCCUCAGUCCCUCCCUCUCUCUGAACUUCCCAGAGCCUCUCCCCUCCCUGACUGCAAGUCACCUGACUGGGAGGCCCAAGCCCAGCCUCACCCAGAUUCCACACCCCAACUUUUCCAGCUCUGAAGAUGUGAAAGGACUGUCCCUCUGCACUGUGGAGCUCCCAGUGUCCCAGCCUGUUCCUUCCAGCUGCACAGCUCAGGCACAAGCAUGAUACAAACCACCAGCUACACGUGCCGUAUGUACACACAUGUGCAGCCUCAUGUAACACACAGCUAGGUGUGCACCCCCCACAGGCAUACAUGCUUAUACAUACCCUCAUGAAUUACACAUCUAUAUAGGACAUGAAUACUCAAGUACACACACAUGCGCAUACAUGUGAACACACAUGAACAUGCAUGCACACACACACACAUGUGCACACAACAU
rnacentral:lncRNA from 1 species